rnacentral:misc_RNA from 1 species
UGACAGUGUCCAACGUAGGCGAAUUUCAGAACAAGCACGGAGAGGAUCGGAGAAGAUCGGGCGGUUACAGUUGGAGUUGAAGAAGCUACAGUUUCUAAUAAUGAAACUAGAUGGUGAAAGGGAGGCCAAAGGCAAAAGCAAAGUACCAGAGCGGAGUCCAAGAGUUCUUCUAAGGGACUAUCUUUACGGCGGGACGAGAACAAAGCAGAAGCAAAAGAAGAAGG